ACCGCCACGCCCCAACCACCUUCCCUUUAAGCCGUCCCUUUAACAGCUGGGACCCUCAUGUGUAUUUCCGGGUUUCCACUGUGCUGCUGCUCACUGUUGGUUGUGGCGUUGGUUGUUAAUAAAACAAUCUCAAAUCUCCAACUCGACUCAUCGCUGAACGAAUUCAUCUCUAAAACUCAAGGAUCUGCGGUUGGGCUUUGUUGAUGCCUGGUCUACCUUCUGAUGAGAACAAGUCACAUCCACUUCCUCAGACAAUCCGUUACUCGACGGUCAGGUUUUUUUUUCUCCCCCUUCAUCGACCUGCUUGCUGAAGGAGGAUGGCGAGCUACCCACACACCACCUGGUGGUAGGAAAAAGAAAGACACUCUCCACACAGGAAAACCAAACAACACUUUCCAUACAGGAAUCAAAAUAAACUCUAAGGGAGUAUCUAAAGGAAAAGAACAAUUCUCCCGUUGCUCUUGGACUUUUGAACUACAUUUGGUUUUGAAGUAUUAUUGAUUAUUUCUUUUUUUGGUUUGUUCUUUUUCCCCGUCCUUGUUUCUUUUGAACAAUUUCUCUUUGUUUAGUUUUGCUGUUAGUAUUAUUAUUAUUAUUAUUAUUAUUAUCAUUAUUAUUUCCACUGCAAUAAAUGGCAAUAUAAACAAAGCUCUUUGCAUCAGUUGCAUCAAUUAUCCACCCAAUCAUGACUCCAUGCCGUACCUAUUUCUGAUUUUAUAGAGUGGUUAACACUAAGCCCUGCAGUCAGACCUGCGCAUUUAAGAAGA